rnacentral:tRNA from 2 species
GGCCCUAUAGUCUAGUGGCCUAGGACGUUGGCCUCUCACGCCGAUAACAUGGGUUCGAGUCCCAUUAGGGUCACCA